UAUAACUUCCAUAUUUGAGGGCAGGCACAAAUUUUUAACUACCAAAGUGAAAUGACCAUAUCAGAUACAGAUACAACAAUUUGCUCAGGCUCAUUUUUAGCUAGCCAAAUCAUGGUACGAUCUAUGACCACGACUGUACAAGUCAUAGUGGCCCUAACAGAUAUCUACAGUCACGAUAUUACUUAGCCACGAGUAACCCCUACAGAUAGUGCGACACCACUCUCGUAAGAGGGAACACCGUUAUCUACUGGGAGCAGUCCUUUUACGUCUUUUCAGACCAGAUAAGGGAGGCAGAAAU
rnacentral:lncRNA from 1 species